UGGGGAAUAUUGGACAAUGGGCGAAAGCCUGAUCCAGCCAUGCCGCGUGUGUGAAGAAGGUCUUCGGAUUGUAAAGCACUUUAAGUUGGGAGGAAGGGCAUUAACCUAAUACGUUAGUGUUUUGACGUUACCGACAGAAUAAGCACCGGCUAACUCUGUGCAAGCAGCCGAGGUAAUACAAAGGGUGCAAGCGUUAAUCGGAAUUACUGGGCGUAAAGCGCGCGUAGGGGUUUGUUAAGUUGGAUGUGAAAUCCCCGGGCUCAACCUGGGAACUGCAUUCAAAACUGACUGACUAGAGUAUGGUAGAGGGUGGUGGAAUUUCCUGUGUAGCGGUGAAAUGCGUAGAUAUAGGAAGGAACACCAGUGGCGAAGGCGACCACCUGGACUAAUACUGACACUGAGGUGCGAAAGCGUGGGGAGCAAACA
rnacentral:rRNA from 1 species